CCUAGGGGGGCUGCAGUGGGGAAUAUUGCGCAAUGGGCGAAAGCCUGACGCAGCGACGCCGCGUGGGUGAUGAAGGCCUUCGGGUUGUAAAGCCCUGUCGGGUGGAACGAACGAUCUGGCGGCGAAUAACCGCCGGGUGUGACGGUACCACCGAAGGAAGCCCCGGCUAACUACGUGCCAGCAGCCGCGGUAAGACGUAGGGGGCGAGCGUUGUUCGGAUUUACUGGGCGUAAAGCGGGCGUAGGCGGCUGAAAUCCCCCGGCUUAACCGAGGUCCCGCAUUCGAUACUGGCUGGGUAGAGUCUAGGAGAGGAAAGCGGAAUUCCCAGUGUAGCGGUGAAAUGCGUAGAUAUUGGGAGGAACACCGGUGGCGAAGGCGGCUUUCCGGACUAGUACUGACGCUGAGGCGCGAAAGCUAGGGGAGCGAACGGGAUUAGAUACCCUAGUAGUC
rnacentral:rRNA from 1 species